rnacentral:rRNA from 1 species
AUUGAACGCUGGCGGCAGGCUUAACACAUGCAAGUCGAGCGGAGAUGAGGUGCUUGCACCUUAUCUUAGCGGCGGACGGGUGAGUAAUGCUUAGGAAUCUGCCUAUUAGUGGGGGACGACAUUCCGAAAGGAAUGCUAAUACCGCAUACGUCCUACGGGAGAAAGCAGGGGAUCUUCGGACCUUGCGCUAAUAGAUGAGCCUAAGUCGGAUUAGCUAGUUGGUGGGGUAAAGGCCUACCAAGGCGACGAUCUGUAGCGGGUCUGAGAGGCUGAUCCGCCACACUGGGACUGAGACACGGCCCAGACUCCUACGGGAGGCAGCAGUGGGGAAUAUUGGACAAUGGGGGGAACCCUGAUCCAGCCAUGCCGCGUGUGUGAAGAAGGCCUUAUGGUUGUAAAGCACUUUAAGCGAGGAGGAGGCUACUGAGACUAAUACUCUUGGAUAGUGGACGUUACUCGCAGAAUAAGCACCGGCUAACUCUGUGCCAGCAGCCGCAGUAA